UCCAUAACUGUUUUAAACAUAAUGGAAGGUGCCAAGCUGGUAUACUUUUUCUCUGGUGUAACUUUAGGGUGUAAAUAUAUAUAUCCUGUUGUAAUUUAAUUUAAUCACAAGCAUGGUUAUUACAAUUAAUUUUUACCAGUAAUAUUUCAGAACGUUAAUAUUUCAGAAUGUGUGAAGUGUUUUCCUUUUAAAUUUAUAUAUUUGUCAGGUUUUUUUGUUGCUUAUAGUACUCUAGAUGGUUG
rnacentral:misc_RNA from 1 species